rnacentral:rRNA from 1 species
UACAGAGGCCUCGAGCGUUAGGCGGAAUCACUGGGCUUAAAGCGUGUGUAGGCGGACUGGUAAGUACCUUGUGAAAUCCCACAGCUUAACUGUGGAACUGCUCGGUAUACUGCUGGUCUUGAGCCACUCAGGGGCUACCGGAACAAAUGGUGGAGCGGUGAAAUGCGUAGAUAUCAUUUGGAACGCCAAUGGUGAAAACAGGUAGCUGGGGGUGUGCUGACGCUGAGACACGAAAGACAGGGGAGCAAACGGG